rnacentral:rRNA from 1 species
CGGCCCUACGGGUUGUAAACUGCUUUUGUACCGGAAUAAACCUUGAUACGUGUAUCAAGCUGAAUGUACAGUAAGAAUAAGGAUCGGCUAACUCCGUGC